AAGGAGGCCGACCAUUACCCAAGCAUAUUUUUGAGGUUAUCGUCUAUUUGGUAAUUCGGAUCAUUUUCAAAAAAAAUUUGAUUGUUUUCAACUUAGUUUUCAAGAAUUUUACAAAAUUUGAAUUAAGAUCAACGAUUUAUUUAUUAGUUAUUGAGGUUUAAAUUUAUUGUAGGAAUUACUAGAGUUUGGUUAGGAAUUGGUUUAAGAAUAGGAUUUGGUUUAGGAUUUAGAGUUUGGAUUAGGAUUUGUUUAGGAUUAAGUUAGGGUUUGAUUUAGGAUUUAGGAUUUAGUUUAGGAUUUGAUUAGGAUUUAAGAUUUGGUUUAGGGUUUGAUUUAAGGUUUAGAGUUUGGUUAGGAUUAGGGUCUAAGAUUUGGUUUAGGAUUUGAUUAGGAUUUGGAUUAAGGUUUAGAGUUUGAUUUAUAGUUUAGGGUUUGAUUUAGGAUUUGGUUGGGAUUUGAUUUAAGGUUUGUUUAGGAUUUGCUUUAGGGUUUAGAGUUUGAUUUAGGAUUUAGGAUUUUAUUAGGGUUUAAGAUUUAAUUAAUUUUGGCCUAAAGUUUGAAUGAAAUCCAAUAGGAUUUUAACUAGGAUUAAAUUAAGAUUGAAUUGAGAUAUAUUUGAGAGAGAUUUGUGAUCAUUCUAAUAUUUCUUUAAGAUUUCUCAUUGUUUCUUUGAAAUUUCUUUGAGGUUUCUUUGAAUUUGAUUAAAGCUUGCUUAGCAUUAUUAUGGUCUAAUUAGAGCAUUUUUAGUAUUCUAUUAGAAUUAGGAUUUUUUUGUUGCA
rnacentral:lncRNA from 1 species